rnacentral:rRNA from 1 species
AGUGAACGCUGGCGGUGUGCCUAACACAUGCAAGUCGAACGGACGCACAGUAAGAUUUCGCCCUUACGGUUGGCGGGUGGCGGGCGGGUGACGCAUACAUCGGCAUCUUCUUUUUCUGGGGGGAUUACGUAGGGAAAGUUACGCUAAUACCGCAUAUGACCUACGGCUGAGAUCAGUGGUUAUUCGCGCUUUUCCUGUUUGAAUUAGCCGAUGCCGGAUUAGCUAGUUGGGAGGGUAAGGGCCCACCAAGGCGACGAUGCGUAGCCGAUCUGAGAGGAUGAUCAGCCACACUGGAACUGAGACACGGUCCAGACUCCUACGGGAGGCAGCAGUGGGGAAUAUUCGACAAUGGGCGAAAGCCUGACCCAGCAAUGCCGCGUGAGUGAAGAAGGCCUUCGGAUCGUAAAGCCCUUUUAUUAGGGAAGAAAAACAGCAGAUUAAAACACCGCUGUUCUGACGGUACCCAAAGAAUAAGCACCGGCUAACUUCGUG